rnacentral:lncRNA from 1 species
CGAAGCCUCCAGCAAUAUCUUCACUGCCUAUCAAGUCAAGCACCAAAACAAUGGAGUUAUCAGUUACCAUGGGCAGAAUUCUGGUAUAAUACCACAUUCCACCGUGCAAUUGGGUUCACCCCUUUUCAGGCUUUGUAUGGAAGACCUCCGCCUGUAAUCACUCGUUAUUUGCCGGUUGUGCAGGAAGUGGAUAAAGCGCUAUGUGACCGGGAUGAAUUGCUGCAACGCCUAAAGCAAAAUUUGGAAAAGGCCAGGAACCGAAUGAAGCAACAAGCAGAUGCCCACCGCCGUGAUGAGUCCUUUGAGGUGAAUGAUUGGGUUUUUCUGAAAUUACAACCAUUCAGAUAGCAAUCAGUGUUCAAACGAGCUCAUCAAAAGCUUGCUAAUAAAUACUUUGGACCUUAUAGGGUGAUGGAAAAAUAGGGGCUGUAGCUUACAAAUUGGAGCUGCCAGAACAUUCGAAAGUACACCCAGUAUUCCACAUAUCCUGUCUUAAACGACGAAUCGGAACUGGAGAAGUUUCACAGUGCACGGCACCUCCCGUUUCUGAAGAUGGUUGUCUUGAGCUUGAACCAAUUGCUGCCAAGGAUUUUCGCUGGGUAAAGCAGGGUAACAGAAUUGUAGGGGAAGCGUUGGUACAAUGGAAGCAUAUGCCUGAUGAAAAAGCCACCUGGGAAUCAACCGAACGCGUGCAGAACCAAUUCCCAAAUUUCCACCUUGAGGACAAGGUUGAAGUUCCAGGGGCGGCGAAUGGUGAGCCUCGAAGAAUAAGGAAGCCCAAUCCCAAGUAUUUGUCCAUGUUAGCCGCAGAACCAGGAGGACCAAUUCAAAAGCUGCUGGAAACAUCUGAUCUGUUUUGAUCUAUUCCUUAUCUUCAGGUCCAAGUAAAGGAGAACGUGGCUUGAGUUUAGGUAGAAUUGUUGAGUUUGUUUAGGAAUCUAAGCUAUAAAUAAGUGUCCUUGGACAGUAGAGUAGGC